rnacentral:rRNA from 1 species
UGCAGUCGNNCGCUAUCUUUGAUAGAGUGGCGCACGGGUGAGUAACGCGUGGGAACCUGCCUUCCUCUGCGGGACAACGGUUGGAAACGACCGCUAAUACCGCAUACGCUCUACGGAGGAAAGGUCAGCCGGAGAAAGAGGGGCCCGCGUUCGAUUAGCUAGUUGGUGGGGUAAUGGCCUACCAAGGCAACGAUCGAUAGCUGGUCUGAGAGGAUGAUCAGCCACACUGGGACUGAGACACGGCCCAGACUCCUACGGGAGGCAGCAGUGGGGAAUAUUGGACAAUGGGGGCAACCCUGAUCCAGCAAUGCCGCGUGUGUGAUGAAGGCCUUAGGGUUGUAAAGCACUUUCACUGGUGAAGAUGAUGACGGUAACCAGAGAAGAAGCCCCGGCUAACUUCGUGCCAGCAGCCGCGGUAAUACGAAGGGGGCGAGCGUUGUUCGGAAUUACUGGGCGUAAAGGGCGCGUAGGCGGUCUUUUAAGUUAGGCGUGAAAGCCCCGGGCUCAACCUGGGAACUGCGCUUAAUACUGGAAGACUAGAAAACGGAAGAGGGUAGUGGAAUUCCCAGUGUAGAGGUGAAAUUCGUAGAUAUUGGGAAGAACACCAGUGGCGAAAGCGGCUACCUGGUCCGAUUUUGACGCUGANGCGCGAAAGCGUGGGGAGCAAACAGGAUUANGUACCCUGGUAGUCCACGCCGUAAACGAUGUCUGCUAGAUGUCGGGGGGUUGCCCCUCGGUGUCGCCGCUAACGCAUUAAGCAGACCGCCNGGGAAGUACGGUCGCAAGANUAAAACUCAAANGAAUUGANGGGGCCCGCACAAGCGG